UUGUGUAAUGAUAAGAUAACAGUAGCAGGCAAUAUCUCUUAAAUAUUCAUAUAUUGUUAACUUUGUGAAUUUACUUGAAAUUAGGAGAGGAAAGUUUCAUCAGAUCGAGCGUUCUUAUGAAAGGAAUUGUCAUUCUUAUUCAUUCUAGGAGAGAGAGGAAUUAAGAUAAGUAAUUAAUUAUAAUGGGACCUAAAUAUAUUUUUAAUUUCGUUUCUUUCUGAGGAUGCUCAAAUUUUCAUAUUAUGUGGUAAUAUAUUAUUUCAUUACGUUCUUGUUUGGAGGAGAUUUAGAAGAUUUCAGCUCAUAAGUAUAUUUUAGAGACUGCAAGUCCAGUCUUUGAGAGAAUGUUUAAGGGAGACUUUAAGGAGUCAAACAAGGAGCACAUGGAGAUUGAGCAUCUGGAUGUGAUUCUUUUUGCAUCCAAGGUUGUGUAAAAAUGUGUUUGCACCGAUGAAACUGACUUUAGCGAAUUUACGAAAUAAUGUUUUUCAUGAACGAGGAAGAAUGUAUCAUAGAUAUCACCCCAGAAAUAUGCUGACUCACAUCAAGAUUCAAAAUUAACCUGAAUAAACAUCUCGUAAACUAA
rnacentral:lncRNA from 1 species